rnacentral:tRNA from 1 species
ACUUAAAUAAUUUAAAAAAAAAAAUAUUGAUUUGUGGAGUCAAAAAUAUGAAUUUCAUUUUAAGUC